AUAAACUGGACCCCAGUUGGGGUGCGGUAGGAAUCCAGAAAGAGAUAGGCAAAGGAUCAGCAUCUCCCCCAACAUACAUACACACACACACACACACACACACACACACACCACCUCCAAAGUUCUUCUACACUUCCUGUCAGCACUGACAACCACAGCUGGAUGCCUACGACCAGUCCUCCAGAGCCCAGCCCGCAGCCGAGCUUCAGAGAGAGUCCUGGAUGGCCUCCCUCCGGCGGCCCGUGCAGGCGGCGGUCUAAUGACCAGCUCCGGGACCAGCGAGGCGCUCACCGGGCACUCAGCUCUGGCGGGGCGGACGGUGGAACCCGGGCGCGGGCGCUGCUUACCUUGGGCAUCAGCCCCGCGUGCGGCCAGCAGCAGCGCGGCCAGCAGCGCCAGCGGUGGCGGGCGCGUCCCGCGGCGGCGCGGCCGGUGCAUUCCUCCUCUCGUGGCGGUGCUGGCGGCUCCCUGGCGGCGCGCAGAACAUCCACGGGUUCGCCCAGGGCUCCGGGUCACUUCGUCCUGCCGCAGGCACUCGCAGGACACCGGGGGGCCUUUGCAAAAUUCUUUGUCCCUCUGACCUGCUCCCUCGUCUCCGCUCUGCCGCCCUGGACCUGGGAGCGCGGCUCCUCCCGGUCGGUACUCCGCAGCAGCCCUGACUCAGCCGGCCGUUCAGUCCUAGGCUCUCUGUGUCGCUCUUGCGAACCGUGUGUCUCCGGCUCCGACUGCAGAAGAGCGUGCCCAGUGCCUGGAGCUGCGGUCUCGGGGCUCACUAAGCCGAGGCUCCUCCAGCUCUCCACGAUCUCUCUUCUCGCCCAACUUGUCACUUUCCACCAACUCCACAACCCAGCGCCCCAGCCCGGACCAAUGGCAGAGGCGGGCCCAGGCCGGGGUCCUAGCGCCCUCUACUGCUACCUCCUGGAUUCGCACCUUCCAAGGCAUCUCGGAAAGCAGCUACCAUACCUCCUGUAAACCCAUCAUCCCCCCUCCGCCCCCUCCCCACCCCAACCCCACUCCCCAC
rnacentral:lncRNA from 1 species